GGGGAGAUGGCGGAGUGGUCAAUCGCAGCAGUCUGUAAAACUGUCGCCUUUAUGGCUACGCAGGUUCAAAUCCUGCUCUCCCCA
rnacentral:tRNA from 1 species